UAGUGGGGGUGCAUACCACUCAAAACCAACAUGAAAAAUGUAGCUAGUAAUGUUCACUCAGCAUUUUGUUUUGUUGUUAAACUGUGUGUAAAAUGAGCGGUGAUGUUAAAUCACCGGUUUCAGGUAACCUCCCUAUGGUACCGACUAUUUGCUGGAUGUUUGCAUGGUAACGGU